CCCCGUUGGUAGAACGGCGGACUGUUAAUCCGUAUGUCACUGGUUCGAGUCCAGUCAGAGGAGCCA
rnacentral:tRNA from 1 species